rnacentral:rRNA from 1 species
UACGGGGGGGAGCAAGCGUUGUUCGGAUUUACUGGGCGUAAAGGGCGCGUAGGCGGCCACCGCAAGUCGACUGUGAAAUCUCCGGGCUUAACCCGGAAAGGUCAGCCGAUACUGCGGGGCUAGAGUGCAGAAGGGGCAACUGGAAUUCUCGGUGUAGCGGUGAAAUGCGUAGAUAUCGGGAGGAACACCAGCGGCGAAGGCGGCACUCUGGCGUCGGCCUGACGCUCAUGUGCGAAAGCGUGGGGAGCGAACGGGG